CCCUUGGGGGGGUGCCUAUACAUGCAAGUAGAACGCUGAAGAGAGGAGCUUGCUCUUCUUGGAUGAGUUGCGAACGGGUGAGUAACGCGUAGGUAACCUGCCUUGUAGCGGGGGAUAACUAUUGGAAACGAUAGCUAAUACCGCAUAACAAUGGAUGACACAUGUCAUUUAUUUGAAAGGGGCAAUUGCUCCACUACAAGAUGGACCUGCGUUGUAUUAGCUAGUAGGUGAGGUAACGGCUCACCUAGGCGACGAUACAUAGCCGACCUGAGAGGGUGAUCGGCCACACUGGGACUGAGACACGGCCCAGACUCCUACGGGAGGCAGCAGUAGGGAAUCUUCGGCAAUGGGGGCAACCCUGACCGAGCAACGCCGCGUGAGUGAAGAAGGUUUUCGGAUCGUAAAGCUCUGUUGUAAGUCAAGAACGAGUGUGAGAGUGGAAAGUUCACACUGUGACGGUAGCUUACCAGAAAGGGACGGCUAACUACGUGCCAGCAGCCGCGGUAAUACGUAGGUCCCGAGCGUUGUCCGGAUUUAUUGGGCGUAAAGCGAGCGCAGGCGGUUUGAUAAGUCUGAAGUUAAAGGCUGUGGCUCAACCAUAGUUCGCUUUGGAAACUGUCAAACUUGAGUGCAGAAGGGGAGAGUGGAAUUCCAUGUGUAGCGGUGAAAUGCGUAGAUAUAUGGAGGAACACCGGUGGCGAAAGCGGCUCUCUGGUCUGUAACUGACGCUGAGGCUCGAAAGCGUGGGGAGCGAACAGGAUUAGAUACCCUGGUAGUCCACGCCGUAAACGAUGAGUGCUAGGUGUUGGAUCCUUUCCGGGAUUCAGUGCCGCAGCUAACGCAUUAAGCACUCCGCCUGGGGAGUACGACCGCAAGGUUGAAACUCAAAGGAAUUGACGGGGGCCCGCACAAGCGGUGGAGCAUGUGGUUUAAUUCGAAGCAACGCGAAGAACCUUACCAGGUCUUGACAUCCCGAUGCUAUUUCUAGAGAUAGAAAGUUACUUCGGUACAUCGGUGACAGGUGGUGCAUGGUUGUCGUCAGCUCGUGUCGUGAGAUGUUGGGUUAAGUCCCGCAACGAGCGCAACCCCUAUUGUUAGUUGCCAUCAUUCAGUUGGGCACUCUAGCGAGACUGCCGGUAAUAAACCGGAGGAAGGUGGGGAUGACGUCAAAUCAUCAUGCCCCUUAUGACCUGGGCUACACACGUGCUACAAUGGUUGGUACAACGAGUUGCGAGUCGGUGACGGCAAGCUAAUCUCUUAAAGCCAAUCUCAGUUCGGAUUGUAGGCUGCAACUCGCCUACAUGAAGUCGGAAUCGCUAGUAAUCGCGGAUCAGCACGCCGCGGUGAAUACGUUCCCGGGCCUUGUACACACCGCCCGUCACACCACGAGAGUUUGUAACACCCGAAGUCGGUGAGGUAACCUUUGGAGCCAGCCGCCUAAGGGUGGAUAAAAGGA
rnacentral:rRNA from 1 species